rnacentral:rRNA from 1 species
UGGGGAAUAUUGGACAAUGGGCGCAAGCCUGAUCCAGCCAUGCCGCGUGAGUGACGAAGGCCUUAGGGUUGUAAAGCUCUUUUGGCGGGGACGAUAAUGACGGUACCCGCAGAAUAAGCCCCGGCUAACUUCGUGCCAGCAGCCGCGGUAAUACGAAGGGAGCUAGCGUUGUUCGGAAUUACUGGGCGUAAAGCGCACGUAGGCGGACUUGUCAGUCAGGGGUGAAAUCCCAAGGCUCAACCUUGGAACUGCCUCCGAUACAGCAAGCCUAGAGAUCGGGAGAGGUGAGUGGAAUUCCUAGUGUAGAGGUGAAAUUCGUAGAUAUUAGGAAGAACACCAGUGGCGAAGGCGGCUCACUGGCCCGAUACUGACGCUGAGGUGCGAAAGCGUGGGGAGCAAACAGGAUUAGAUACCCACGUAGUCCCUGAGCGGGCUGGCAAGGCGCAU